UACGAGUGCCUCAAGCGUUACCCGGAUUCACUGGGCGUAAAGGGUGUGUAGGCGGCUUUGCUAGUCUCCUGUUAAAGCCCCGGGCUCAACCUGGGAGAGGCAGGGGAAACGGCAUCGCUCGAGGAUGCGAGAGGUAAAGGGAACUCAUGGUGUAGGGGUGAAAUCCGUUGAUAUCAUGGGGAACACCAAAAGCGAAGGCACUUUACUGGCGCAUUCCUGACGCUGAGACACGAAAGCGUGGGUAGCGAACGGG
rnacentral:misc_RNA from 1 species